AACGAGGAAUUUCCACAUGAUGAUCAUGAUGAUGAUCAUGAUGUUUGUAAACGAAACCUGCUCAAUUUUCAAAAUGAAGGUAUAGUAGCUGACAUAUAGUGUACAUGUACCACUUGAAGAUUUGUCCCCCUUGUAAAUACAAGAAACGCAAAGUAUAUACAGAUACAUACACAUAAAAGGAGACAUCAUCUCAUGAUCUGUGGAUCCAAAACUUUAAGGACAAAACUUUUGAUAAUUCAUUCAUGUAAAGAGUGUUGACUGGAAUAUUGAAUAUCUAAUGAAUGGAACCAAGAGAAAUAAUUUAAUAAGUAUUUUAUUGUAUAUUACUCUUUUUAUUCAUCAGUCAAAUUUCUGAAUUAAAAAUUAAAUUUAAAGGAUUAAAUAAGUUUUUUAUUAUUAUUUUGAUUAAAACAAGUUCUUUAACUUAUUAUUCUCUUAUAUAAACAGGCAUUUAAGGUCAUACGCAGCAUAGUUUGCACUUUAUUGGGUUCUUCCCUGGAGUUGAAGAGCUCCACUAAAAGAAGGACGUGUGCAAUAUUUUUAUUGUCUAUACAUGGAUUUGUAAAUCUCUUCUAAAGCAAUUUUGAUGAAAAAAAAGCUUGAAUUUUAUAUGUUUUGUAAUUUUUGUACAUUUUUCUUUGAAUAAUGCAAACAUGUUCAAGCUUUAAUGUCUGUUCAAAAUCCCUGGAAAUGCAUGCUGAUUUUUUGUCUAAAAAUUUGUAAUAUGGUAGACCGUACAUGUAUUCAAAGUUUAAAUUUAGAAUAUCUUGAAAAAUUAUUAGUAUAUAGGUAAGGUACCUUGCGUAUGUCCUUAAAUGUAAAAUGAAGGGAUGUGUACCUUUAUUCAAUGAAAUAGGGAACUCAUGAAGCUGAAUCUUAUAUGGAAGCAUCCCUGGGUAGUGAAGAUUCCAAAUUGUUCAAAUCAUGACCCCUGGGGGUUG